ACACAUUUCAUUCGCGCCUGUAUCUUGCUGAACCGCUGCCAUUAUGGCCAACGAUCCGGUUGAGCAAAAUUUCAGGUGUGUGAGAAAUGUGUUUAGCA
rnacentral:pre_miRNA from 1 species